AGUGAACGCUGGCGGUAGGCCUAACACACGCAAGUCGAACGGCAGCACAGUAAGAGCUUGCUCUUACGGGUGGCGAGUGGCGGACGGGUGAGGAAUACAUCGGAAUCUACUUUUUCGUGGGGGAUAACGUAGGGAAACUUACGCUAAUACCGCAUACGACCUACGGGUGAAAGCAGGAGAUCUUCGGACCUUGCGCGAUUGAAUGAGCCGAUGUCGGAUUAGCUAGUUGGCGGGGUAAGGGCCCACCAAGGCGACGAUCCGUAGCUGGUCUGAGAGGAUGAUCAGCCACACUGGAACUGAGACACGGUCCAGACUCCUACGGGAGGCAGCAGUGGGGAAUAUUGGACAAUGGGCGCAAGCCUGAUCCAGCCAUACCGCGUGAGUGAAGAAGGCCUUCGGGUUGUAAAGCCCUUUUGUUGGGAAAGAAAAGCAGUAGGUUAAUAUCCCGCUGUUUUGACGGUACCCAAAGAAUAAGCACCGGCUAACUUCGUG
rnacentral:rRNA from 1 species